rnacentral:lncRNA from 1 species
UUAUAUCACUUUCAUUCUAAUCCAUUUCUGAUUUGGGUAUGAUAGUGCCCUCUAUAUUAAGUGUGGGUGUGUGAGGCCUUCUAGUAAUGAUGUACCAUAAUUCAUAAUCUAAAGCUUGAAUGAAUAUCCUCAUUCUAGCUUUCCAAUAUGUGUAGUUUGUGCCAUUAAAUAGAGGUGGUCUAUUUGCGGAUUGCCCCUCACUCAUAAUACAUCCCACUUGGGUUGUCAUGAUCUUUAACUCUUGAUUGUGAGAUCAAUGAGUACUAUUGGAGCACCUUGCUCUGAUACCACUUGUUGCCCAAGGUGACAAGCCAAGAGGGGGGGGGGUGAAUUGGUUUCUUU